AAGUUAACGGAAAUUAUUUAACCCCUUUGUCUUGGCAAAAAUUAAUAGUUUAAUUAUUUUUUCUCAUUGUUUUAAGCAUAUAGUAAAUAAUUUAUGUCUUGACAGCUUUCACAAGCUAUCAAGUUUAUUAGUUGGUAUUAAUUGAUACGAAUGACUAGAUAUUUAAUAUUGAGAAUAUAUUUUAUAUAUUUGGGUUAUCCUGCUCGAAUGAUUGUUCAUUAUCACUUUCUUCACUGAUGUUUAGUUGAUCAAAAAAUGCUUGGAGAAGAAAAUAAACUUUAGGGAGAGAUUAAUUCGAGUAAAAUUAAUUUAUUGCUGGUUCCGGAUGUUGGAAAUGCAGAAAUACGUCCGCCCAGAAAUUGAAAGAAUUGUCUGCUGCUCUG